rnacentral:rRNA from 1 species
GUGCAGCAGGCGAGAAAGCUUUACAAUGUGCGAAAGCACGAUAAGGGAACUCUGAGUGCCUCCUAAGGAGGCUGUUCAGGUGUCUAAAAAGCACCUGGAGUAAGGGCUGGGUAAGACCGGUGCCAGCCGCCGCGGUAACACCGGCAGCCCAGGUGGUAGCCACUUUUAUUGGGUCUAAAGCGUCCGUAGCCGGUUGAGUAAGUUCCUUGGGAAAUUUGGCUGCUCAACAGUCAAGCUUCCAGGGAAUACUGCUCGACUUGGGACUGGGAGAGGUCAGAGGUACUCCAGGGGUAGGGGUGAAAAUCCAUUAAUCCCUGGGGGACCACCGGUAGCGAAGGCGUCUGACCAGACCAGGUCCGACGGUGAGGGACGAAGGCUAGGGUCGCGAACCGGAUUAGAUACCUCUGUAGU